UACGGGGGGUGCAAGCGUUAAUCGGAAUUACUGGGCGUAAAGGGCGCGUAGGCGGCCUCUUAAGUCAGAUGUGAAAUCCCUGGGCUCAACCUGGGAAUGGCAUUUGAUACUGUGAGGCUAGAAUGUGGUAGAGGAUAGCGGAAUUUCUGGUGUAGCGGUGAAAUGCGUAGAUAUCAGAAGGAACAUCAAUGGCGAAGGCAGCUAUCUGGGCCAACAUUGACGCUGAGGCGCGAAAGCGUGGGGAGCAAACAGG
rnacentral:rRNA from 1 species